rnacentral:lncRNA from 1 species
AAAAUUGAACACAAUGUUUGUAACCACAAAAGGAAGGUUGGGAUUGAUUUUAGGGGUUAUGGUCCCAAUGGUUAAGAAAUUAGGGGCCCAAAGGGGCCCAAAACAAGUAUUUAUCUAGCUUCAGGACAAUAAGUUGUGUAUAAGUAUUUCAAUUUCUCUGAUAUUGUACCACAAUGUUCAUACAAUAAAGUAGAAGUAGUUUCAGGACAAUAACUUGUGUAUAACUGUAUGGAUCUCUCUGACAUUGUACCACAAGGUUCCAUAUAACGAAGGGAAGGCUUUGAUUUAGUUCGGGGUUAAUAUCCCUGAACAUUUAGGAAUAAGGGGUCGAAAAGAAGCAUUUUUCUAGAUUACAGGCA